UACGAAGGGGGCUAGCGUUGCUCGGAAUCACUGGGCGUAAAGGGCGCGUAGGCGGCCAUUCAAGUCGGAGGUGAAAAGCCCAGGGCUCAACCCUGGAAUUGCCUUCGAUACUGUUUGGCUAGAGACCGGAAGAGGUAAGUGGAACUGCGAGUGUAGAGGUGAAAUUCGUAGAUAUUCGCAAGAACACCAGUGGCGAAGGCGGCUUACUGGUCCGGUUCUGACGCUGAGGCGCGAAAGCGUGGGAGCAA
rnacentral:rRNA from 1 species